CAAUAAAAAAUUAAAAUUAAAAUUAAAUAGUUUUAAUAUGAUAUUAAUGAUAAAAACGUCAUUUAAUAUUCUUAAUAUUUUGUUGUAAUAUUUUUUAAGAAAAAAAAUCUUGAUUUAAAAAAAAAUAUGUAUUAAGGUAAAUUGGUAUUAAAGUUGAAGAUUUACGAACUGCACAGUCAUGUGUUCUGUAAUGGGUACGGAUACAUAGGCGGAUCCAGGGGGGGGGAGCGCCCCCCUUUCGUGGGGAAAAUUUAGUUGAUUAUAUAGGGAAUCACUGAAGCAUGACUGGAGCGGUCUCCCCUUAGGUCAGUCAGCGCCCCCCCCCCCCCCCCUCCUUAGGAAAAGUUCUGGAUCCGCCACUGGGAUAUGCAUAAUAUUACGGCCCUUUUCUAUAAGAUUUUACUAAGUAAUACAUUCAUGUAUUAGAAAAUAUUGAGAAAACACAAACAUAUGAUAUAAAUACAGACUGGACAUUAAACCGAAAAAAAUAAAGCAAACAUUGUUUGUCAAGAUUUCGACUCGAGAAUUAAUAAGGAUUGUUUCAUGAAGACUUGAUAGCACUUGGGAUGAAAAAAACGUUAUAAAUUCUUUACAUUUAAUUAUUAGCUUUAACAGACAGUCUUUUAAAACAGUUACAUUUAGAAAAUAAUAAAAUAUGCAUUUAAUUAUAAAUGUAUUUAAACAACAAAAGAAACUUUCAGACAUAUGCACAAUAAUAAUAUACCAGUUUUCGUAAUAUAGAUCUCACAAGCGGCGAUCAAAGACAUCGUCUAUUGAAGUUUUAAAAAAUAUGAGAAAACCAUUUUACUCUAAAUUUUAUAAGAAGUAAAAGAACAUAAAAUAUCAGAGUGUACUUCAUUGAAACAUUCAAACUUCACAAUUUCAACAUGCAUC
rnacentral:lncRNA from 1 species